GAAAACUCCGGUGGUAUGCGAUGGGUCCGCGUCUGAUUAGGCAGUUGGCGGGGUAACGGCCCACCAAACCGACGAUCAGUAGCCGGCCUGAGAGGGCGGACGGCCACACUGGGACUGAGACACGGCCCAGACUCCUGCGGGAGGCAGCAGUGGGGAAUAUUGCACAAUGGGGGAAACCCUGAUGCAGCGACGCCGCGUGAAGGAAGAAGUAUCUCGGUAUGUAAACUUCUAUCAGCAGGGAAGAAAACAGACGGUACCUGACUAAGAAGCCCCGGCUAACUACGUGCCAGCAGCCGCGGUAAUACGUAGGGGGCAAGCGUUAUCCGGAUUUACUGGGUGUAAAGGGGGCGCAGACGGCCAUGGCAAGCCUGGUGUGAAAGGCAGGGGCAUAACCCCUGGACUGCACUGGGAACUGUCAGGCUGGAGUGCCGGAGGGGUAAGCGGAAUUCCUGGUGUAGCGGUGAAAUGCGUAGAUAUCAGGAGGAACACCGGCGGCGAAGGCGGCUUACUGGACGGCAACUGACGUUGAGGCCCGAAAGCGUGGGGAGCGAACAGGAUUAGGUACCCUGGUAGUCCACGCCGUAAACGAUGUAUACCAGGUGUCGGAUAUCAAGGAUAUCCG
rnacentral:rRNA from 1 species